AGGAGGAACAACCCCAGUGGCGGGGCCGGCUCUGGAGCCCUGGAGUCAGCUCCCACAGUAAGUAACUACAGAGCUCUCCUCUGCAGGGCCUGGAGGCUCCGGGGCGGG
rnacentral:pre_miRNA from 1 species